CUGGAGGACCUCUACUUCCUGUACCAGCUCCUCGAUAUCAUUUGGUCGACUAGACCUGCUCCGCCCCCGGAGACGGCAGCCGGAGUGAAUGGACCACACUCAGACUGAUGCAAGCCUCGCUCUCUCACAGGUGCUGUGUGAGAUGAGGAGGCAGGGGCUUCUGACAGAGGACAGACUGGACGAGUUACAGAGGACACUGGAGCAGUGUGACACACAGCUGGCCCACACUGUCUGGCAGCAUACAGCAGAUGACAGGAGACUCCAAACGAGCCCAAGCACAUCCUCACCAAGAAACUCUUCCUUCCCUACCUCUGAAACAUCUUCCAUAUCUGGACUGAGAAACUUCAGAUAGGCUGUUAUGAUUUAACAGUGAAUUCUCGCCUGCUUAUUUAAUAGACAGGAGACACACCAUAAAUUGAGAUGAACACACAAGUCAACACAACCAUUCAACAGAGAACACAAACAAAUUGAGGACAUGAACAUGAUGUGCAGUGAAUUCCAAGCUGAUGUUACCUGGUGC